ACUGCCUCAGGCGGUGGUGAGCCUGUUUCAAACAGAGGCAGGCUGCUUCCUGAGGAACCAGCCCCUCGGGGCUUGACGCCCUGAUCCCGGGUCGCUGGCCGGGGGCGGAGACGGGGAUAGCGAGCUGAGUGUGCGAGCGCCAGGGGUUCCAGCUGCACGUCCCAGGCUCUCCAGCGCGCGGCAGGCCGGGGCGGGACGAGGAGAGCUGCGGGGACAACGCCUGUGGCUGGGUCCGGAGGGGAGAUUCACCGAGUCCCCACGCAGCGCAGGCCUUCGCAGUUCGACAAGAAAAUCCUGCUGUGGACAGGGCGUUUCAAAUCGAUGGAGGAGAUCCCGCCUCGGAUCCCGCCAGAAAUGAUAGACACCGCAAGAAACAAAGCUCGAGUGAAAGCUUGUUACAUAAUGAUUGGACUCACAAUUAUCGCCUGCUUUGCUGUGAUAGUGUCAGCCAAAAGGGCUGUAGAACGACAUGAAUCCUUAACAAGUUGGAACUUGGCAAAGAAAGCUAAGUGGCGUGAAGAAGCUGCAUUGGCUGCACAGGCUAAAGCUAAAUGAUAUUCUAAGUGACAAAGUGUUCACCUGAAUACCAUCCCUGUCAUCAGCAACAGUAGAAGAUGGGAAAAAUAGAAUAUUUACCAAAAUAUCUGCCAUGGUUUUAUUUUGGUAACAAGAAGCACAAUGUCUUUUUUAUUUUUAUUUUUUAGUAAACUUUUACUGAAGUAUACCAUGCAUUCAAAAAGUGGACAAAACUGUAUACAGUCUGAUAGAUAUUUAUGUCGUGAACACCUGUGUAACCACUGCCAAAGUGAAGAUGUAGAAUAUUGGCAACACUUCACAGCCUCAUUCCUGCCUUUUCUCAGCCAUUACCUCCCAAACAUAGCAGUUUUUCUGAGUUUCAUCACCUUUGAUUCAUUUUGCCUGUUUUUGAACUUUAUAUAAAUGGAUUUAUACAUUA
rnacentral:lncRNA from 1 species